rnacentral:rRNA from 1 species
AGAGUUUGAUCCUGGCUCAGGAUUAACGCUGGCGGCGUGCAUAACACAUGCAAGUCGAACGAUGAAGCUUAAUUGAUUCCUUCGGGAUGAAGCUAAGUGGAUUAGUGACGGACGGGUGAGUAACACGUGAGUAACCUGCCUUACACAAGGGGAUAGCCAUUGGAAACGAUGAAUAAUACCCUAUGAAGUAGCCUAAUCGCAUGGUUAAGCUACCAAGGUGCUUAGUGGUGUAAGAUGGACUUGCGUCUGAUUAGCUAGUUGGUGAGAUAAAAGCCCACCAAGGCAACGAUCAGUAGCCGGCUUGAGAGAGUGUACGGCCACAUUGGGACUGAGACACGGCCCAAACUCCUACGGGAGGCAGCAGUGGGGAAUUUUGCACAAUGGGGGAAACCCUGAUGCAGCGACGCCGCGUGAUUUAGAAAGUCUUCGGAUUGUAAAAAUCUUUUGUAUAGGAAGAAAAUGACAGUACUAUACGAAUAAGGUCCGGCUAAUUACGUGCCAGCAGCCGCGGUAAUACGUAAGGACCGAGCGUUGUCCGGAAUCAUUGGGCGUAAAGGGUACGUAAGCGGUCUAGUAAGUUAGAAGUGAAAGGCAAUAGCUCAACUAUUGUAAGCUUUUAAAACUGCUAGACUUGAGAGAUUGAAGGGAAAGUGGAAUUCCUAGUGUAGCGGUGAAAUGCGCAGAUAUUAGGAGGAAUACCAGUGGCGAAGGCGACUUUCUGGCAAUCAUCAGACGCUGAGGUACGAAAGCGUGGGUAGCAAACAGGAUUAGAUACCCUGGUAGU